CAGUAGCCGCGGGAACACGAAGGGGGCUAGCGUUGCUCGGAAUCACUGGGCGUAAAGGGUGCGUAGGCGGGUCUUUAAGUCAGGGGUGAAAUCCUGGAGCUCAACUCCAGAACUGCCUUUGAUACUGAAGAUCUUGAGUUCGGGAGAGGUGAGUGGAACUGCGAGUGUAGAGGUGAAAUUCGUAGAUAUUCGCAAGAACACCAGUGGCGAAGGCGGCUCACUGGCCCGAUACUGACGCUGAGGCACGAAAGCGUGGGGAGCAAACAGGAUUAGAUACCCCAGUAGUCCCUGUCUCUAUACA
rnacentral:rRNA from 1 species